rnacentral:rRNA from 1 species
GCCGGUGACAAACCGGAGGAAGGUGGGGAUGACGUCAAAUCAUCAUGCCCCUUAUGACCUGGGCUACACACGUACUACAAUGGCCGGUACAACGGGAAGCGAAGCCGCGAGGUGGAGCCAAUCCCAGCAAAGCCGGUCUCAGUUCGGAUUGCAGGCUGCAACUCGCCUGCAUGAAGUCGGAAUUGCUAGUAAUCGCGGAUCAGCAUGCCGCGGUGAAUACGUUCCCGGGUCUUGUACACACCGCCCGUCACACCACGAGAGUUUACAACACCCGAAGUCGGUGGGGUAACCCGCAAGGGAGCCAGCCGCCGAAGGUGGGGUAGAUGAUUGGGGUGAAGUCGUAACAAGGUAGCCGUAUCGGAAGGUGCGGCUGGAUCACCUCCUUUCUAUGGAGA